rnacentral:rRNA from 1 species
UGGGGAAUAUUGCACAAUGGGGGAAACCCUGAUGCAGCGACGCCGCGUGAGUGAAGAAGUAUUUCGGUAUGUAAAGCUCUAUCAGCAGGGAAGAUAAUGACAGUACCUGACUAAGAAGCCCCGGCUAACUACGUGCCAGCAGCCGCGGUAAUACGUAGGGGGCAAGCGUUAUCCGGAUUUACUGGGUGUAAAGGGAGCGUAGACGGAGUGGCAAGUCUGAAGUGAAAACCCUGGGCUCAACCUGGGGACUGCUUUGGAAACUGUUAAUCUAGAGUGUUGGAGAGGUAAGUGGAAUUCCUGGUGUAGCGGUGAAAUGCGUAGAUAUCAGGAAGAACACCGGAGGCGAAGGCGGCUUACUGGACAAUAACUGACGUUGAGGCUCGAAAGCGUGGGGAUCAAACAGGAUUAGAUACCCUGGUAGUCCACGCUGUAAACGAUGAAUACUAGGUGUCGGGGAGCAAAGCUUCUCGGUGCCGUCGCAAACGCAAUAAGUAUUCCACCUGGGGAGUACGUUCGCAAGAAUG